rnacentral:rRNA from 1 species
GCAAGUCGAGGGGUAACAGGAGAGCUUGCUCUCGCUGACGACCGGCGCACGGGUGCGUAACGCGUAUACAAUCUGCCUUUUACAGAGGGAUAGCCCAGAGAAAUUUGGAUUAACACCUCAUGGUAUUAUUGAUUGGCAUCAAUUAGUAAUUAAAACUUCGGUGGUAAAAGAUGAGUAUGCGUUCUAUUAGCUAGUAGGUAAGGUAACGGCUUACCUAGGCGACGAUAGAUAGGGGUCCUGAGAGGGAGAUC